GUGAAUCAUCGAAUUUUUGAACGCAAAUUGCACUCUCUGGUAUUCCGGAGAGUAUGCCUGUUUGAGGGUCAGUUUAAAUAAAAAUCGGGGUGGUUGCUGACUUUCGUGGUGACGCAGCGGAUUGGGGUCGUCUUGCCUUCGGUUUAGUGACCUAAAAAUUUGCCUGAUUUUUUUCGUAUGUAUUUAAAUGAUUUUAUGUAUGUUUGCGUUAUAG
rnacentral:misc_RNA from 1 species